rnacentral:rRNA from 1 species
GACGGAGGAUGCAAGCGUUAUCCGGAAUGAUUGGGCGUAAAGCGUCCGCAGGUGGCAGUUCAAGUCUGCUGUCAAAGACCGGGGCUUAACUUCGGAAAGGCAGUGGAAACUGAACAGCUAGAGUAUGGUAGGGGCAGAGGGAAUUCCUGGUGUAGCGGUGAAAUGCGUAGAUAUCGUUUGGAACGCCAACGGUGAAAACAGACAGCUGGGAGUGUGCUGACGCUGAGACACGAAAGCCAGGGGAGCGAACGGG